UGAGGGUUUCAGGGCAUGGGUCUCUGGCAGGGAGAUUUAUGUAAAGGGUUGACCCACGGUGUCAAUGUAGGUGGAAGUACUAACAGACUCACCUUUGGGAAGGGGACCGAGCUCAUCAUCCAGCCCUCUAUUCAGAACCCUGACCCUGCCGUGUACCAGCUGAAAAGCCCUGAAUUCAGUAACAUCUCUGUCUGCCUGUUCACUGAUUUUGAUUCGAAAGUCAAUGUGAAACCAUCCACAGAGUCCAACAUGAUUAGAUUGAAAAGUACUUCACUGGACAUGAAGACUAUGGAUUCCAAGAGCAACGGGGCCCUGGCCUGGAGCAACAGCUUUGAUUUGGGAUGCAACAGUACCUUCAACUACACCUUCCACUCCAGCUCAGAAUUUCCCUGCGAUGCCAAUGUGGUAGAGAAAGGCUUUGAAACAGAUAUGAACCUAAAUUUCGACAACCUGAUAGUGAUCAUGCUCCGCAUCAUCUUCCUGAAGGCAGUUGGCUUUAACCUGCUCAUGACGCUGAGGCUGUGGUCCAGCUGAGGUCGCCAAGAAUGUGAGAGCCCAGCGCUCCCCUGCUCCUCCCACACCUUCUCCCCAUCUUCAAGAAGAGAGGCACACUCUCUGCCCCCAUGGAGAAUAAGGUUCCCUCCACCUCUCUGGUCCCACUGGCAACGCCACUGACCGAACCCUAGCAGACAUUUGUGAUCAAGAUGCUGAAGAGCUGCCAAACACCGCUGCCACACCCUCUGUCCCCUCAUCGCUGCUUGUCACUGCCUGACACUCCCGGCAAAGGAGCUGCUGCUGUGGCCUCACCUGGCUGGGGAGAAACUCCCCGACCUUCCCCUGAGACUGCCCAUAUGUCCCCUGGAUGAGGGAUCCCCAGUGGGUCCUCUCGAGCUCUAGCUCCUGGAGAAUGUUGUGAGGAGUUUAUAUAUUUUAAAUUAUGUUCAUAAAGGAAUAACACAUCACACUUGUCCCCAAGAUGUGAGGAAAAUUAUUAUCUAGGCCCUGCUGUGCUGUGUAUCUGAGCCACAUUGUAUAUUCUGCUACCCAUGACUUCAUUAAAGGCGAUUGAAAGAGCA